CCAGUGUGGUGUAGUGGUUUGAGUGUUGGACUAGGACUCUGGAGACCAGGGCUCAAAUCCCUACUCACUGGA